CGACAAAAUGGCGGCGGGCGGAGAGCGCGGGAAGGGCCCGCGGCGCCCUGAGGGCCGCUCGUUCCCUUCCCGUCCCCCUCACCGUCCCAUUUUGAAGUGUUUUUUUCCCCUCACAGCGUGAAGAUUUUGGGGUCAACGCUGCUCUUUCCUCCCCCUCCACACGCGCCCUCCCAGGGAAAUGCAGGAUUGUUUGUGUAACUCCCACUCUACAGCAGAUAGCUUCUCUGUCACCAUGACUUCAAUGUGCACAGUCCAAGCAGUCACUUGUGAGCAAGGAGAGCAGGUAUUGGCACCUCCUCAUUAGCCUUCAUCAAUGAGAAUAUUGGCUAUGGUGUUGCGUGAGUGCCACUGGCUGACCAAUGGAGGGGCCCUGCCCUCCUAAGCUGGAGCAACACUUUCUGAGUGGUGAUUUCAUUGCCUGGUUGCUGCAGUGAUUUGGAGCACAGCUGUGACGUUAUGCUUUUUCUGGCAAAAAUUUAGCUGAGGGGCCACUGUACCCUGUGGGAAUUGUACUACUUUUCUGUGGCAGUUUGGGAUAACUGAGGGCUCCCUUGGGAGUGUUGGACUUCUACCGCCACACGCUUUGGAUUGAAGAGUUACCAGAACGACAUCUGUGAGGUUUCCAAGCUAAACAAAACCUGAAUUUCUGGUGCAAAAAGCAAGUGAAUGAUAGAAACCUCUGCUCCUCUUCCAGCGGGGGGACACUGCAGCCUUUUAAGCUUUCCUAUUAUGCCAAAGAGGUAAAAAAGCAUAAGCGUGCAUUGUGUUAUGCAGUGCUAUUGGUGAUAUAAAAUGAAAGCCAAAGCUAGCCAAGAAACUGUUCUCCUUUCAAAUACAUCUCCACGCACAAGUACUUUUCUUCUUUGCCUUUCCCUGAAGUGAGAGAGCAAUAAGGGCACAAGCGUGCGCUCAGUCUGCUUCAUUUAGAACACAGUGAAGUGACUUCGGUGCCAACAUGAUGAAUCAAAAGCAUUGAAGAUAGCUGGCUUGCUAUUUAUUUUGCUCUGGGCAUGACAAUCAGAUGUGAUUGGGGAUGUGAAGAAGAACAGCCUUCAACUCACGGAGUUGCACUGUUUUAAACCCUUGUCCUGUGACUUCUCCAGCGUGAUUUCUGUCAUUCCUGCUGGGCAUUGCACGUGGGCCUUUUCAUGGAGAGGUAACGCACUGCAGCUGUGUGUUAAACAUGGCAACAUACAGGAUACAGUGAUCUCUCCACUCCCAGGAGCCUGGAAGACUGAAGCCCUCUGCCUAGAGGAUGAAAUGCUUCAUGUUUGGAAAAAAAAACUAGCAGGUACAGCACUUCAGGAUGUGAUUGCAGAGAUGUUUGGGGGCAAAAGGAACCAGGGCAGAAGCUGGCGCUGUAAUGUUCCUAUUUUUUUUUCCACAGUGGGUGAAAAAUUAGUGGCACUAUUUUGCAGCAGCUCUCAUCCCCUGCGUUGUGUGGAUGAGAACAGCAUGGAGUCUGGCUGGGAGCAGUGCUUGAAAAGGAGUCAGAGAAUCCUGGUACAGCUGAUGCAGUGACUCAAAGGGACAGAGUUAACACAUCGUGAAGACUUGGAGCGCUACCCUGUAAAAGGCUUUGUCUGUGACAGCUCCUUUCCUGUGGAUGUCCUUCCAGCCAGGCUGCCCGCAGUGUGACAGCAGUGACCCUGUGUGAGGUUUCUUUGAAGGACCUGGGAGACUGCGUGGCUUUUUCUUGUCCCUCGGAGGUGCUUCCCUGGCAGGGAGGGAGGAAAAUGAUUGGCAGUGCUGUCACAGGAGGCAUGCUUACCUGGCUAGGGGAAAGCUUGGUGUGGAAAAGCCAGCUGGUGCAUGGUUUGGGGAAGGAGAGGUUCCUUUCUCUCCAGAAUGGAAUCCCUUAAGGAAGGUAUAGACAAGCAGUUCCUGCUCCUGGGGCUUCUGGCUGGUUAAAACAAAGAGCUGAGCCCAUUUCCAUGGAGAAAUGUAUGAUAGAGCACGUUGCAGUGCUUUUCCUUGCGUGUGCGUGGCUUGGUCACACGUUUAACUAAUAGAUGGUUUGCAUGCAAGAGGUUAUUGCUUUUUUAUACUUUUAAUCAGUCUAUCUCCAUUGGGCAGAGCAGCUUCACAGCCACCAGCACGGGGGAAACUGAGGCACGGGGCUACAGUGGGAUUACAGGCAGAGCCGGGGAUAAGGCUCAGGUUUGCCGAGGCUCAGACCGACGUGCGUCAGAGGGCUGAUUAAAUGGAGAGAUUUGCAAAGGGAAGUGACCUAUAGCUCCACGGCCGGGACGGUGUGCUGGACUCGAUCCUUAUGGGCACCUUCCAACUCAAAGGGCAGUUUGGUCAGGGGAAGGGCUGGGUAAGCACGGCGAGCACGGCCGACAGGGAGCGAGAUGUGGUGAGCUCCUUCCAUUGCCUUAGCCUGGAGCACAGCCAACCCGCGGGGCUCAUCCAGCACUGAACUUUGGAGUCGUUGCAGAUAAACAGCGCUAUAGGCUAAUAAAAGGCUCUGCCACGCAGGGCCCGGUCUGCCCGCACCGCAAUGACUUUGUUACGUGCUGACUGCAGUGAGGGACGGCGCUGGGUUUGCCUUCUCCUGGCCUUGGAUGGAGAGGAGCGGGCAGAACCUCGAGGCCUUUUGCCCCGCACCCAUUUCUGCACGGCAGCCCUUUACAUUUCACAGCGUGCUCCAUUUUUUUUCCUACUCCUAUUCCUUUUGUAGCAUAGCCCCCCUUUUUUGCAACAGUCCCCCUUUCUUCCUUCGUACCGUAUGUUUUAUUUGCUUAUUUCUUUAUGUGCAAUCCCUUAAUCCAUCACCUUGCAUUGCAGCCCCGCUUUUCGGCAUGCAUCCCUUGCUUUCCACAACCCACCUCGUGCAUUUAUUACUUUCCAUCGCAGCUCCCGUUUCUGGCUCGCACCUCCUCUUUUUUUUUUUUUUUUUUUUUGCCGUGCUUCCUUUAUCUAUGACUUCCCAUCCCAGCCCUGUUUGUAUCUGCCAUACAGUCCCUCCGUCACGUCGCGUUACACCGCGCUCUGCCCGCUCCGCUCCCGCAGCCCUCCACCGCUGCGCUCCCCGCGCAUGCGCACUCCCCCUCCC
ensembl:lncRNA